GGCUUCGGUGGCUGGCAUGCUGCCCACGCUACCCACCCUCUUAGUGCCCAUUUGCCUAUAGUUCAUUUCGGCGGGGACAGCAGGGCGCAGAAAAGAACGGAGGGCAGUGUUUUCGCCAGUCCAGAGAACAUGGUACACCAGGUGAAACAAACAAUCGCCAUAAGAAUCCACACCCAUUGCUGGUUCAACGACGGAAGGCGCGUCAGCGGAGAAGGAAUGACGCAUGCGCACAACGCCUAAGAGGUAUCCGCGGAGGCCGGGGAAACCAGUUACAUGUCUCGCGUAACAUAUAAAGCUUGGGAGACCGAGUUUCCGGUAAUUGUUAUUAAAG